rnacentral:misc_RNA from 1 species
CCGAAGUACUCUAUCACCAGAUGAAUGGGAGGUAGCCUACCUUUAUUUGGCAUUUGUUCUAAGGAAGCGAGGGCAACCGGAUCAAACACGAAGAAACCCUAGACGAGACAAAGGCAAGAUGCAACUGACAAAAGACGAUAUUGAGAAUGUUAACGGUGCAGUGUAGUGCCGAAACGACUGUUAUGGGACAUGAGGAAGUAUCUGAAAUGAAGAGGAACAAUAAACACAGUCCCCUCUUCAACUCGAUAAAUCCAGCUGCUAAUCAAUUUUGCAGAACAAAGACUAAUUUUCGCCUUUAUCAUUUGUUACAUCAUCAACUCACUGUUGUACUACAACAUAAAAAAGUUGAUGUGGGCAAAGGUGGCUGGUUCUAAUGAUACUAGUCACCAGUGCUAUGUUCGUUUGUCCACUUGCAACUUUCCAUGUAACUCUCUGUAUCAUUACAUAUUUAUAGUGAGAAUGAGAAAAUAGCCAAAAAUAUCAAUCUGGGAUAUUAAGAUAAAAAUGUUUUAGAGAUCUAAGACAAUUGAAC